rnacentral:rRNA from 1 species
UAAUGACGGUACCUGAAGAAUAAGCACCGGCUAACUACGUGCCAGCAGCCGCGGUAAUACGUAGGGUGCAAGCGUUAAUCGGAAUUACUGGGCGUAAAGCGUGCGCAGGCGGUCAUGCAAGACAGAUGUGAAAUCCCCGGGCUCAACCUGGGAACUGCAUUUGUGACUGCAUGACUUGAGUACGGCAGAGGGGGAUGGAAUUCCGCGUGUAGCAGUGAAAUGCGUAGAUAUGCGGAGGAACACCGAUGGCGAAGGCAAUCCCCUGGGCCUGUACUGACGCUCAUGCACGAAAGCGUGGGGAGCAAACAGGAUUAGAUACCCUGGUAGUCCACGCCCUAAACGAUGUCAACUGGUUGUUGGGAGGGUUUCUUCUCAGUAACGAAGCUAACGCGUGAA